rnacentral:rRNA from 1 species
CCCUUAGAUGUUCUGGGCCGCACGCGCGCUACAAUGAUGAAUUCAACGAGUUUAUAACCUUGGUUGAAAAGCCUGGGUAAUCUUUUGAACUUUCGUCGUGAUGGGGCUAGACCCUUGCAAUUAUUGGUCUCCAACGAGGAAUUCCUAGUAAACGCAAGUAAUCAGCUUGCAUUGAUUACGUCCCUGCCCUUUGUACACACCGCCCGUCGCACCUACCGAUUGAAUGGUCCGGUGAAAUCUUCGGAUUGAGACUUUGAUUUCUUCACGGAAAACGCUGUUUUAAAAAGUUGAUUAAACCUUACCAUUUAGAGGAAGGUGAAGUCGUAACA